rnacentral:rRNA from 1 species
CCUACGGGUGGCAGCAGUGAGGAAUAUUGGUCAAUGGGCGCGAGCCUGAACCAGCCAAGCAGCGUGAAGGAUGACGGCCCCAUGGGUUGUAAACUUCUUUUAUAGAGGAAUAAAGCGAGGCACGUGUGCCUUUUUGAAUGUACUUUAUGAAUAAGGAUCGGCUAACUCCGUGCCAGCAGCCGCGGUAAUACGGAGGAUCCGAGCGUUAUCCGGAUUUAUUGGGUUUAAAGGGUGCGUAGGUGGGUUGUGAAGUCAGGUGUAAAAGGCUGGGGCUCAACCCUAGAGUUGCAGUUGAGACUGGCGGACUUGAGAAGAGGUGAGGUAGGCGGAAUGCGCGGUGUAGCGGUGAAAUGCAUAGAUAUCGCGCAGAACCCCGAUUGCGAAGGCAGCUUAC